GUGGAAGGGUAGAGGCAGGGCUGCUUAGUGUAUAUAAACAGGAAAGGUUAAUAAGACAGGUGAGACAACGGGGAAUACGAGAAGCAGUCUGUUGUGCUUGCAGGAGAAUUUGAUCUACAGACGCAUCAGAAACUCAGGCAUCCAUCUGAACAUUGAUCAUCAUGUCACUCACCAAGAUUCUUAAACCUGAGGACAUGAAGAAGGCAGUCGACACCUUUGAAGCUGUGGGCUCAUUCAAGCAUAAGGAGUUCUUCAAGAUAUGUGGCUUGUCCACAAUGCCUCCAGAGAAGGUGCGAGAGGUGUUCAGGAUCCUUGAUGGUGACAAUAGUCAC